CCACGAACAUCAACUUAAGUAUGAUAGAAAAAACACACCAAAAAAAAAAGAAAAAGAAAAACAACAUUAAGAAAAGAACUAAAAAGAAAAGAAAAAGAAAAGGAUUUGAAAAACGCCAAUAGAAAAUAAAAGAAAAAGAGAGUAAAAGACCAAUGGAAAACAAAAUAAAUAAGAUAAAUAAAAAAAUAAAACGAAAACAUGCAUCCAUUCUCCAUGAAAUCAAAUGGGUCAUUGAGUACUGACUUGACUCAGGUUGACGCAGUCGGUGUAAACGGAGUUGCGUCAAUAUGAAUCGCCUCAAAUGACUUGACGUGACUCGACUCGACGUGACUCGCUUGGUGUAAACGCAGCCUAAAAUUUGCUGCCUCGGCACUCUUCCCGCCAGCCAGCCGGGGAUUAAAUUUCAGCUGACGCAGCAUGCACAGAACCCCGUAUAUAAGAUCUUCCACGUUAAAUACAAUUCCGGAAAACAAAUCAGUGUAAUUUAAAACGUGAUAAACACUAAGAAUAACAGUAAUAUAUAUAAAUAUGACGAAAUAAACAUUAAUAGUUUGUAAAGUGUUCGAUCAGCGGCAACUCUCCCGCACGUUCACCGUUGCCAGAUUAUCGUAUUCAGAGCCUCGUAUUUACCAGUUUCUGAGCCAUCUAUAGCCAAAAACUCACUAAUUAUUAACCAUUUUAACGAUAACUAUAUAUUAAGGCAAUUAUUAGGGGUCGAGGAGGAAGUUUUUGGGUCGGAAAUCGGCAAACAUAAGAGGCAGAGUACGACAAUCUGGCACCGUUGCGCACGUACCUCCGCCGCCUUGCUGCAUGUGCUUACCCGGCACGGAUAAUGUGGUGAGUUUUUAUCUUUUUUACGUCAUUUACACCUUUCCCCCACCUUUGUUACACCUACACACAUGACAUUAAGUGCUCAGGGAUUAGGUAGAGCGGCAGAUCAUCCCUGUAAAUUGUGUUGAAGGUGAAAUGUGAUGAAAAAUGUAGUGGCGAGGACAGCGUGGGUUAACAAUGCACGCCGUGUAUCACAAUUUUUACACUUUCCAUGUCAUUAUUCACCAUUCUAACUUAGUCUGGAGUGUCCAAGGCUUAAGUAGACGUGCAAGUUACAUAUAAGAGGUGAAAUUAACGUGCGUAGGAUAUAUUUUAACGCAAGCCCCAUAUUCUAGUACAUGAUUGGUACCUGUUUGUCUGUCCUUGCGCAAACUUAUACCAUGGCUGAUGAGGUAAUCUAACGUAGUUUUGGUGGUGUAGUAGUGGUUUUGUAUGUGUGAUUUACAGGAGUGUUAAACCUUUUUAACUUAGAUUACUUAUAUAAUGGUACUUUACGUUGCCUGGUUGUAAUCUGACGUAAUUUUGGUGGUAUAAUUGGUUUUCAUGCGUGAUUUAGAGGAGUGUAAUACUUUUUAAAGCGUUCUCUGGAGCUGCAGAAUACAAUUUCCACCAUAAUUAACUACAUAUCCCAAGGGUGUGAAUGCCAUAAUGAUUUUUUAAGUGCGUGCAUGUUUUGUAAGCAUUUAAGUGUGUAGAGGCGUCACGUACGUGGUCUGGCUAGCUGUUAUCUAACAUAAUUUUGGUGUAAUCACAUGUGGUUUUUAUGUGUGAUUUAGUGUUACACAUUUUCACUUAGUUUACUUAUAUUCUGGUGUUUUAAGUGCGCGGUUGGAAUUAUAUAAGUGUAUAGCUGUCACGUAGUCUGUGUGUGGCCUGGUAACAUCGCGGCUGAGGUGUAAUUAUGUAAUUUUUAUAUAUUGGAGGUUUUUAGGCCUGACAGACAGUAAGUAGCUUUAUCUAUAAUAAGAGGAUGGCAUUAUAAAGUAAGAAUCCAGGAACUUGUAAGUCUUUUUUUUUCCACUGACAGAAUGACAAAGACAACAGCUUCAAACAGUGGGAUCCCUGCAAUGGACAUUAGUGUAUCAUUUGAUGGCACAUACGUCAUUCUACGCAUCAGCUGUUCUCUGGAGCUGCAGAAUACAAUUUCCACCAUAAUUAACUACAUAUCCCAAGGGUGUGAAUGCCAUAAUCCUUGGUGUAGCUGUACUUGCCCUUGCUUCUGUACCUGCCUGCCAUUCUGGUUUCAAGUAAACGAGUUUUUUUAAGAUGUCAUUUGUAGUUGUGGAGUUUCUGGAUGAAAAGGCAGUUGAAGUUGUUCCCAAGUCAUGGAUAAUGCAUAAAGAAAAAGGUCUGUUUUGUUACUGGCCUCCAAGGGCAGGUGCUGCAGCCAAGGUGAAAAAGGAAGAAAUCCCAGAUAAAGAAAAAUGGAAUUCAUACGAGAUAAGGAUUUUUUCAUCUGCAGAAACCUACAGCAAGGCCCAGGAACUGUCCAGGAGAGCAGAGGUUACGUCAAAUGUUGAAACAGAACCUGAAGGUCCAAAAAGCAGAGCUACCAAAAAGCCUGCUAGAUAUGACUUCUCAGAUGAAGCUGAUGAUGAAGGCGAUAAUCCUGAGUUCUCCCACACUCCAUCUGUAGCUGUUCUGCCACAAUCUCCUCACC